rnacentral:rRNA from 1 species
ACACGACUACAUUAGAUACCCCCGUAGUCCAGGGUGUAAACGCUGCGGGCUUGGUGUUGGGGUCCUUAGUGGGCGCCCAGUGCCGGAGAGAAGUUGUUAAGCCUGCUGCGUUGGGGAGUAUGUCCGCAAGGAUGAAACUUAAAGGAAUUGGCGGGGAGCACAACAACGGGUGGAGCUUGCGGUUUAAUUGGAUUCAACGCCGGAAAUCUUACCGGGACCGACAGCAACAUGAAGGCCAAGCUGAAGACUUUGCCGGAUUAGCUG